rnacentral:misc_RNA from 1 species
AAGUCGUAACAAGGUUUCCGUAGGUGAACCUGCGGAAGGAUCAUCAUUGAAAACAUAUUAACAUUUGGUUAUUUUCAAGCCCUUUUUUUUUUUGGAAGGGCUUGCAAACAACACAGAUACCCAAAAAAUUUUUCAGAAAAAAAAACAAAUUUUUGGUGGUUGCCUGAUAUAAAAAGUGUUUGGAAAAAAAAAAGUGGAAUAAAAAAAAACAACUUUCAACAACGGAUCUCUUGGCUCUCA